rnacentral:rRNA from 1 species
UAGGGAAUAUUGGACAAUGGGGGCAACCCUGAUCCAGCCAUGCCGCGUGAGUGAAGAAGGCCCUCGGGUUGUAAAGCUCUUUUGUCCGGAAAGAAAAGCAUUCGGUGAAUACCCGGAUGUUCUGACGGUACCGGAAGAAUAAGCACCGGCUAACUUCGUGCCAGCAGCCGCGGUAAUACGAAGGGUGCAAGCGUUACUCGGAAUUACUGGGCGUAAAGCGUGCGUAGGUGGUUGUUUAAGUCUGAUGUGAAAGCCCUGGGCUCAACCUGGGAAUGGCAUUGGAAACUGGGCAGCUAGAGUGCGGUAGAGGGUAGUGGAAUUCCCGGUGUAGCAGUGAAAUGCGUAGAGAUCGGGAGGAACAUCUGUGGCGAAGGCGACUGCCUGGACCAGCACUAACACUGAGGCACGAAAGCGUGGGGAGCAAACA